rnacentral:RNase_P_RNA from 1 species
CAGCUCAUUCAAGCAAUCACGGCCCAUAAUAAUGGGGUGAGGAAAGUCCAGACAUCAACUUUGUGGUUGAAAGUAAUUUGAACCAUUUGCACUGUGGAAGAUUAGAAUUUUUUUAAUUGACACAGCGGGGAGUAAUCUUCGGGAGAAAAGGGCAACAGAAACAUACCGCCUUCGGGUAAGGUUGAAAUCGUGAGGUAAGAGCUCACGCAUUAUUGCAGCAAUGUAAUAGUGGGGUAACCCCUGCAAGAUGCAAGACUAAGUCGCUCAGAGAAAUGAUUGCAUAAACAGAAUCUGGCUUAUGAAUGAGCUAUAAA